GCGGCCCGGAUAUCUCUGCGCGGCAGCCCCCGCGGUCGAUCAAUCUCAGUCCCGCACUGCCGUCCCGCCCCGCCCUGUGCCCGCCAAUCCACGACGCCAUAAUCCCCCGCCGUGUCCCUCCCUUCCUCCCCAUUGGUUGUGACCGCACGUCAGCCCGACUCAGCCUGCCAAUCGCAGGACCCAGAGGGCCCUCUCCCCCGCCCGCUCAGUGUAAUUCGAGUUCCCUGUCCAUCGACUCCAAGUCCUCUCUCCUGCGCCGCAUGCUGCCUCGCGCUCCCUUUCCUUCCCCCUCUACCCCCUUCCGCGAUUUACUGUUUCCUCGCGCCCAACAGAAAUGGGCGACCGCAAGUCUUACUCUCGCCGGCGUUACAAAGAAAGGAAGGAGGAGACCUGAACAGUACAUCCGGAGAAUCCAGCAAAGCAUACUACGGCAUGAACGUGCAAGUGGACAGAAUUAAAACACAUGCCAGAAACACUAAUGGAUUCUAAACAAGAUGCAGUUUCAUUUCCUGAGCCUAUACGUGAUGUUUUUAACUGUUCUCCAGUUAAUAUGUCUCCAUUUCCAGAAAUCUAACAGGAGAAUCUCUGACUGCUUAACAGAUCACCUAAGCUUGCGAUUUGUGCAAUCCUUUCUAGAGUAAGGGCUCCCCGGCUGCUCCCCGGCCACUGUGUACCCAAAGCAGCGGCUGAAAUAGCCCGGAGUCCAACAGCUCAGCGUCAAGCAGCUCGUGGCAAACGCAGCCGCCGGUCUUGACUGCCAUCGCCCAAGGGGUUCCUCUGGGCUCUCCCGCGAGCCAACAGCCGACCUCUCUCCAGCCUAGUCUGGGAAACUCCAGCCAACCCAGGAUCCCAUUUUGUAGUCCCGGGCAGACCCGAAACCCCUGAAAGAACUCCACUCCAGAAGACGCCAGAACAAGUUCCCACGAAUUUCAUGGGCGCCCUUCACAUGAAAACCUCAGCUCCCCUAUCCUCAAGGAACGGGGAAGGGCGCCGGGGAGGGACUUCGGUGGCCAGCUGUCCCUGGGUCGUGGGCGCUGUUUGCUCUGCGGAGCGCCAGCCCUGCACACAGCGGGUGCGGGAAGCGUUGAUGGGAGGCUGGAGGGCGGGGUGAGCGUAAACUAGGAUCUAGCCGGUUCCAGGCGUGGAGAAUCAAAUGUGGUCCUAGAUCUGUAAGUUGCGAAAAGGGGCUUUUGGGAGCGUCAGAGCUUUCUCACUCCGGUCCCCCGCCGCCUUGAGGCUGGCAGAUUUAUACCCCACAGGUGGAUGGAGACCUAAACAAAACAGUCCCGGCCGCUGCCUGCCGCUCGCCCCCCACGUCCCCCGGGCCCACCGCAAACUUCAACAAAAUAAACAACUCACCACAGGCAUUCCCUUGUCUGCAGCGCGACGCUUGCCAGCUGGGAAAAUAAGCCGCAAGCCACGCGGCCGAGGC
rnacentral:lncRNA from 1 species